rnacentral:rRNA from 1 species
UACGUAGGGUGCGAGCGUUGUCCGGAAUUAUUGGGCGUAAAGAGCUCGUAGGCGGUCUGUCGCGUCGAAUGUGAAAACCCGGGGCUCAACUCCGGGCUUGCAUUCGAUACGGGCAGGCUAGAGUUCGGUAGGGGAGUCUGGAAUUCCUGGUGUAGCGGUGAAAUGCGCAGAUAUCAGGAGGAACACCGGUGGCGAAGGCGGCAUCCUGGACCGAGAUUGACGCUGAUGAGCGAAAGCUAGGGGAGCAAACGGG